UCCCAAAAUCUCACAGAAGCACCAGUGAGAAAAGAAGCUCCAUAACGGGCUGCAAGAUACCUUCAACCUGACCGACAGGCAUGUGUGUGUAUGCAUUUCUCAGCUUCCUUUGUUCUCUGUCUCCUGUCUUACAGUCUGCCUGGUGUGUCCCAAUUGAUCGGGCUGUAUAAUGGAAGUGGAUGACAGCCACAUCUGAAGUCAAGAGAUGAAAGACAUCAUUUACAACACCUUCGUCGCAAUUCCAAGAGGAAGUCUUUUUCAUCCAGUCACCAGGGCGAUAACCUGCCAGGCCUCAUCGUGUUGCCUUAAUAUCUGCCGUUCCGAUUCCUCUGCAUCCAACUGCACUGCGCCUCCUGGCAUUCAGCAGCGCCAUUAGGGCUCAGACUACAACCUUCACUGGUGUCAACCCUCUGCACCUUUCCUUGAUGCCCUUGAGCGGUAAUUGGUGAAUCCCCCCCAGAAUCUGACUUGAGGGAACAGAAAUCCACAGCUCCCCAAUCAGCCGUCUGUCAGUCAUUCUGCCAACUAAACUAAAGCAGGGGAUAACUAACAGGCUGAGAUCGGAAUUUAAGUUAGUGAGACAUAAAUCUUUCCGACAAGUUUGUGCUUGGCAACAGGGCUAUCACCAAAUUGGAGGGUGGGGAUGGUGCCAACAUGGUGGAUGGGGAGAAUAUGUAAUUUGUGCUCCACGGUGAAAAAUGAUGUGCAGUUUUCUUGCACUAAAUAUGUAAAAAGAGACAGAACAUUUAGAAAAAAAAGUGAAUUGACGCGAGCUCUGGUUCAGCAAUUUUAAACUCCUGGGAUUCAAAAAAACAAUUUUAGCAAAUUUAACCCUGUUAAAGUCCACUACAUCAAUAACAUAUAAGACUUGAUAGAAAAUUCUUUUUUUUUUGGAAUGAACAUGUUUUUUAAACCCCUUUAAUGAAAUUUGAUUUAAUUAAAUUUAAGGAUUUUUUUAGAAAAUUGUACCAGUUAUAACAAAUUGGGUGAUUUGGUAAGUUUUUGCUCACAACAAUGUUAGUUUAAGAUACAAAAAUACUAACUCAAAUGGGGAAAAAAGCAUCAUAUUACCCACUGUCUCAAAUUCGAUCCACACAUAUUUUUGACAUUGUGAAAUUGUAAUAUAAAGAAUCAAGUGUCAACAUAUUUUACAUUUUACUACAGCAAAGUCAUGUCAAAAAUAAGAAAAAUAGAUGAGUUAUUUUGGCAUAAUGUUUUGAAAAUUGACAAAUUGACAGGAAUUACAGCUUCGCGCAGGCAGCCAUUUUAAAAUGACCAGAAAAAUGUCCAUCUACUGCCUCUAGUGGAAUAAUGAUGAACUACAGGGGAGAAAAUAUGGACCAACAAUGGGUUUUCAGGAAAAAUUUGAAUCAUGCUGAUGAGAUAGGGGUUUCAGAAAUGUGUGUUUCAAGUAAGAUGCAAAUGGUUAAAUAAGGUAUAAAAAAAAAUUUCUCCAAAGAUAUCAACUGCAGAGUGGUUGUUUGUUGCACAGAAAUGUUCUGAAAAGCUGGAUAACCCUCAGUGUCCUCCCUGCAGAAGUGUCAUUUUAAUCAUGACUCUAAAUCUGCGCUGGGUCUACAAGCAGCUGACCUUGUCUCCUGACCCUUACACCGGGGGAGGCCAUCAAGAAACACGGCAGCUCGGUGGGAUCGAUAUGGAAUUAGAUGAUUCACAAGUCAUAUUGCUGCUGCUUGUCGAUUUCACAGGAAGGAGCACGGCUGACAGUAAUCCCAUUCAAUGGUGAUUAAUGCCACAAAAUGAUGAUCUGCAACAACACAAUCCCUCUCAGUCCUCUCGGGAACACUCGCGGCUUCUUCUAAAGCAAACACUCCUGUCUGCAGCACAUACCUCGGAUUUGCUGUGUAUCUCGUUCCCGCAACAAGUAAAAGAAUUGACACAAAAA